rnacentral:misc_RNA from 1 species
UUUCUGUGAGUCAACUGGGUCAAGGCAAAGUACAGCCCAGCAACAUCUAUGAAACCGAUUAAAGCUUUCAACAAUUCCUGAUAUGGAUCAAAACUGUCAUUCUCAGACACCUUAAGAAAAGUGGCUAAGCAAACGAGCUUUACUAAAGCUGUCCCAAGAUAAACAAGCGCAGCUUUAAUAGAGGUUCCAAGGGUAUCAUACUCGGACAAGGGCGUGGCGGAAUAGUAAACAGCGUGAGGGCCGAAGGUGAGAAUCGCACAGUUGAAGAAAUGAAACAACGUCAUCUCCGUCUUCUGUGUGCUAGCUUUUUCGCUUCAAAGCACGCUGGGAGAUCGCAGAGAAAAGAGGUCGCA